AGCUUAGUUUAGGGUUUAAAACCCAAAUGCUGGCUGAAUGGAAAAAGUUUAGUUUAGGGUUUAAAACCCUAAUGCUGACUAAAAGGAAAAUUCAGUUUAGGGUUUAAAACCCUAAUGCUGACUGAAAGAAAAAGUUCAGUUUAGGGUUUAAAACCCUAAUGCUGACAGGAAGGAAAAGUUCAGUUUAGGGUUUAAAACCCUAAUGCUGAUUAAAAGGAAAAUUCAGUUUAGGGUUUAAAACCCUAAUGCUGAUUGCAUGGAAAAGCUCAGCUUAGGGUCUAAAACUCUAAUGCUGACUAAAGGAAAAAUUCAGCUUAGGGUCUAAAACUCUAAUGCUGGCUGAAUGGAAAAUUCAGUUUAGGGUUUAAAACCCUAAUGCUGAUUACAUGGAAAAGCUCAGUUUAGGGUUUUAAAACCCUAAUGCUGGCUGAAAGGAAAAGUUCA
rnacentral:lncRNA from 1 species